rnacentral:rRNA from 1 species
UGCGGAGGGAUCAUUACCGAGUUCAUGCCCUUACGGGUAGACCUCCCACCCUAUGUUAUAUUACCUUUGUUGCUUUGGCGGGCCGCCCGGCUUCGGCCAGGCUACCGGCUCCAGCUGGUAAGCGCUCGCCAGAGGACCCUCAACUCUGAAUAUCAGUGUCGUCCGAGUACUAUAAAAUAGUUAAAACUUUCAACAACGGAUCUCUUGGUUCUGGCAUCGAUGAAGAACGCAGCGAAAUGCGAUAAGUAAUGUGAAUUGCAGAAUUCAGUGAAUCAUCGAAUCUUUGAACGCACAUUGCGCCCCUUGGUAUUCCGAGGGGCAUGCCUGUUCGAGCGUCAUUACAACCCUCAAGCACUGCUUGGUAUUGGGCUCCGCUGGCUCCAGCGGGCCUUAAAAUCAGUGGCGGCGCCGUUUGGGCUCUGAGCGUAGUAAAUAUCCUCGCUAUAGAGACCAGGCGGUUCUUGUCAUCAACCCCCAACUUUCUAAGUUUGACCUC